GGGGGAGCCCAGAGAGAGGCCAAAGGGAGGGAGGGGGGAGUCUGUAUUAAUUCCCGAGGCCCUCCCAAAGGAGGUCGAGGUUACCCCGGCUGGGCUGUGACCCUGGAAGGAAAGUCAGUUUCUUUCUUCUGGAUUCCAGAAAAUAACGCUGGUGUUCCUGCUGUCGACACCAGGCCCCUGCAAAAAGCCCUGGUGUUUCUUCUACUUUUCCAGCUUUGUAAAUGGCCAGCUACUACCCUGCACAGCCUCUGAGCUAUAGGGAUCCAACACAGGACCUUGGGCUUGCCAGAGCAACUUAUUGAGAGCAGAUCUGAUAUCAAAACUGUACAUGGACAGGAUUUGGACUCUGCAGGUCUGGGCCACAGGGCAGAUGGAGUCCUUGCAGGUUCAACCUUCAGUACCAUACCCAAGAAAGAAGAGGAAGAAAGGAGAAGGAAGAGGAGGAAAAAGGAGGAGAGAGAAGGAGGAGGACAAGGAGGCACCAGAGAGCUCUUUGACCCCCUUCCACCAUGAUUCGAAGACACCGAGCAAAGCUGCCAUCUGUGAACAGAAAGCAGGCCCCAAGCGGACACCAAACUGCCACACUUCAGUCUCAGACUUCCGG
rnacentral:lncRNA from 1 species